rnacentral:rRNA from 1 species
UGCGUAGGCGGCGUUGUAAGUCAGAGGUGAAAGCCCACCGCUCAACGGUGGAACUGCCUUUGAUACUGCAGUGCUUGAAUUAGGUUGAGGUUAGCGGAAUGUGACAUGUAGCGGUGAAAUGCAUAGAUAUGUCAUAGAACACCAAUUGCGAAGGCAGCUGGCUAGACCUAUAUUGACGCUGAGGCACGAAAGCGUGGGGAGCGAACAGGAUUAGAUACCCUGGUAGUCC